ACGCUCGACACCUACGGGAGGAGCAGUGGGGAAUAUUGCACAAUGGGGGAAACCCUGAUGCAGCGACGCCGCGUGAAGGAAGAAGUAUCUCGGUAUGUAAACUUCUAUCAGCAGGGAAGAAAAUGACGGUACCUGACUAAGAAGCCCCGGCUAACUACGUGCCAGUAGCCGCGGUAAUCUGAGCGGGCUGGCAAGGC
rnacentral:rRNA from 1 species